GACGAACGCUGGCGGCGUGCUUAACACAUGCAAGUCGAACGGAAAGGCCCUGCUUUUGUGGGGUGCUCGAGUGGCGAACGGGUGAGUAACACGUGAGUAACCUGCCCUUGACUUUGGGAUAACUUCAGGAAACUGGGGCUAAUACCGGAUAGGAGCUCCUGCUGCAUGGUGGGGGUUGGAAAGUUUCGGCGGUUGGGGAUGGACUCGCGGCUUAUCAGCUUGUUGGUGGGGUAGUGGCUUACCAAGGCUUUGACGGGUAGCCGGCCUGAGAGGGUGACCGGCCACAUUGGGACUGAGGUACGGCCAAGACUCCUACGGGAGGCAGCAGUGGGGAAUAUUGCACAAUGGGCGGAAGCCGGAUGCAGCAACGCCGCGUGCGGGAGGACGGCCUUCGGGUUGUAAACCGCUUUCGCCUGUGACGAAGCGUGAGGGAGGGUAAUGGGUAAAGAAGCACCGGCUAACUACGU
rnacentral:rRNA from 1 species